rnacentral:lncRNA from 1 species
GAAAACAAAUGUUGCUAGGUUAACCUUAUCAACCUGAUAGGGUAAUUGGGAGCAAUCUUCAGAACAGAGACAGCUUGCUAAAAAACUCACACAAGUAUGAUAAGCUUAACUUUAUUCUCAAUAAUCUUAAGAGCUGCCUAUAUGAAUUUUUUUACAGUAACUUUUUGUUUGACCCAACUCGCUCACGAACUUGAGGCUUAAAUUCUUUGUUCCUCCAAAUUAUUAUAAUUGUUAAUCUAAUAUAUAGACUUCAAAAUCUAGCUGAAACACCUAUUAUGUUGAUGUAAUUAGAGAUGGUACUGCAUAAUUCAUUCUAGAGAUUCUUAUAUACCGCCACUUAGUUAUUUUUUGUCUGCAAUUACUAAUUGAAUUUAAUUCGCUUUGUGCCUGUCAACGUUAAGGAAGAAAAACUACGGGGAUGACCAGGUUAUGAACAUUUGAAUGAACCUCUCCACAUCUUGGUUGAAGCUGAUUUACCUGCUAAUGUUGUUGAUAUCAGACUAAGGCAAGCCCAAGAGAUAAUAGAAGAACUGCUCAGACCUGUGGUAUUAAUCUCUAACCAAUCUUUCUUUGAAAAAUCAGACAAUUUCGUUUCUUUGAGCUAUUCACUACCCAGUAACGACACAAAUGGUAAUCUGUCGAAUUGCUGACCAGAACUACACAAGCUGAAACAUGUAAAAUCACGCAUAUUAAGAAUAAUCCAUCACUACCUUUUCCUUUGUGUGCAAGAUGAGCAAGAGGAUUUUAUAAAGAGGCAGUAGUUGCAUGAACUACCCUUGCUAAAUUCAAAUUUCAGAGAAGAGAGUCCUGGACCAGGUGACAGCGUCUCACCUUUUAUUGCCAGUGGAAUGAAGCGUGCAAAAACAGGACAUUAAGAGAUCAAAAUCUGUCUACUGUUUGAAGAAUUCUAAGAUUCAUACUUGAUAUACCUUCCAAAAGACCUCAUGUCUACAUUCCUAGCUAAUUGAAAAUGUAAGAAAGAGGAAUACAAGUCUAUGAGUGUGAUCUAUUUGUUGGAGUUUCUAUUGUUUCUCUUAAUUAACCAAUGACAGAAGGCAGGAAAAAAAGAAACAAAUCAUGUCUGUAGGUGUUUUUAGAUUGAUUUUGUAAAUGUUGGUUAUUUAUACCCAAUCAUUGGAUUUAUUCUUGUGCUUGAUUUUUACAGGUAUCUUUGUUGUUAUGAUAUCUAUUAUUAUUUAAAGAUCCCAUUAUAAAUUGACAUAUUAUGUUUUAAGUUGGUUGAUUUUGUUGAAGUGUGUGUUUUUGAAUUCUGCUAGCUGUUUUAUCAAAUUAUGAAGUGUAGUUAUUAUGUAGUUGGCUUUCAUCCAAUGAGUUCCUAUUAAGUGAAGAAUUAUGCUGCUUUGCUUUAGGUUCCAUCAUUCUGCCUCCACUUGUUCAUUUCGGGCACCUUUCCUUUUGCUCGGGUAUGCAAGUCGUCAAUCUGACAUUCUUUUGCGCAAUUUGUGGAUGAAAUUGUCAUUCCAUUUCUGUUUUCUGGGUGGUUAUUGCUCAUUUUUUCAAGUGGUAUUUUUUUGGUUUCUGACUUGGCUUGUGCCUUUUUCCAGGUGAUUGAAUUAUAUGUUUUUACUUGAUUUCACUUCAGUUUGGCCUACGUGCUCAUUUUGUAGGACUAGUCCUGUCUCUUUGUUUUUGUUGACUUGGCCAGUUCUAGUAGUGGUAUAAUAGAGGGAAAUGAAGUGAAUUGACAAAAAUAACUUUCAAAUAAGUUGUCAUGUGGCCAAAAAAUUGACAUUACGUGUAUGAAUUUCAUUUUAUUGGCUUAAAUGUGUAGUUUGGAGUUUUGAAGGCUAAAAGAGUUCGAUUAAAGAGUAAUUUGAUAUAUAGGGUAAAGAUUAGGGACCACAAUGUCAAAUGUCCCCAACAAUAUUAUAGUACUAACUAAAAUCACUAUCACAGAUUCACUUGUCUAUUAUACUCUACCAUUCACUAAGGUUUUAGAUUCCAUCUGAAGAAUCUGCCUUCGUGUAUUUUGUCUAUUACAGAUCUAAUUCUCCGUUAUUUCUUCCUGCCGGCACAAUAAAGGUACAUUUUCAAGAUGAUGUUCCAUGUUAUUUCGAUUUUUGAUCAUAAGAUUCUUGAUUCUUGAAGGGAUCGAAUUUUUGCAAGUCAAGUGAGUUUCACCAAUGAUAUUUAAGUCCUUGGUCAUGGUUUUAAGAUGCUUGAACAAUAUUCUUGAAGGAAUGUCUUUUGUGAUAUUGGCGAGGUUGAUGGAGUGUUGAUCAAAAUGAGGCAGGUACUAUUGAUAAGGAUCAGACGAAGAGUGAGAGAGAGAAGAUGGUGAUAGAGGCUGGUGAAGUGCAAACUACCAAGACUACUUCCAAGUAAUCUUCCCUUUGUUCUGUCAGCUAAUCAUUAAUAAAAAGAAUAUGUGCUCUUUUUUUCUUUUUCUUUUUUUUAAUGAGAAGAGACGGUAGAUGUUGUCACCCUAUCAAUUCAUACUUGGGUUUAAAUUCUUGUGUUGAUAGGACAUGACGAUAAUUCGGUCUCACCACAAGAUUUUAAAUUAAUGUGAAAGACUUACAUUAAGCAGCAUUUUGAUGUAUUUCCAACACAUUGUAUAAGGAAUUCUUAUAGAAAAGCCAAGAGUGUAGAAGCUUCCGGUAAGUGUUGGAUGCCAAGCAACGGGGUUUGAUAACCUAAAAAUGUUACGGGAAAUGUGUGAGAAUGUUAAGUGUAUAAAUGAAAUACUCAACUUAGGUAAAAAGAUGAAAACGCGAU